rnacentral:lncRNA from 1 species
ACCAUUUUAGUGAGUCAUUCUUCCAUAGAAUCAAUCUCCUAAAUCUCACUCCACUUGCCAGAUUCUUGCUUUACAUGUUCCUGAUGCAAUCAUAAUCUAUUCUAAUUUAUACAAACGAGUUGUUGUAGACUGAUUCCAUGACCCUAAUUCAAAUCAUACUCACUAUCACUAUUCAACAUGCUGUAAAUUUCAUAAUAACAUUUGUCUCUAAUCAGACCAUUGAGUGCAAUUAAAUCAAACUUGGAUUCAACUUUUAUGAAGGUUAUACAUACUAAUAUGCAGAUCUAACUCAUUUCAAUCAUAGACUAAGCUUAUACAAAGAUCAUUUUAGCUUAAAAUCAAUUAGCUAUACCUUGACUAAAUCUACAGUAACAUAGUCAAUAAUCACAGCUAAACAUAAUUCAUAUAUCAAGAGAGAAAGCAAGUAUGGACAGAUUAAAGGACCACACACCCUUAAUACACGAAAUCUGGACAUAAAUACAACAAGAACAAAUCAUAUCUUCAAUUCCAUAUUCAAUAGAGAUCCUAGAUGAAGGAUUACAUACCUAGCAACAAGGAAACAUAAGAAAAUGACCAAGUAAAGGUCAAAUUUGAGGGCAAACAGAACUUGGUUAGACAGGAGAACUAAAGCAGUAAUCAACAACAAAUGAACUCCAACUUCAACAGCUUCUAAACCCAAAAAAUAUUCCCCAAAAGCUUGCUUUCAGAUCUCUUUUCUAAGUGCUCUCUUUUUUUUUUGUGUUUUGUUUUUGAAAUUAGGAUUGCUAAAUCUAAGAGUAAAUACUUCAAAGUGUAUAAAAAAAAAGGAUGAAGUCCUCUCAAUCCAGUCUUGUGUGGUGAAGUGAAAAAGAAGAGUGUAUUCAAUGUAUGCAAAAUGUGUGUGUGUUCUCUAAAGGAAUGCCGAGAUAAAGAUGCCUAAAAAUGAGAGUGUAAAUGAGUUUUUAUGCAAAAAAUG